rnacentral:lncRNA from 1 species
UUUUUUUUUUUUUUUUUCAGGCAAGGCUUUAUUGGGACUUGACAAGUAACAGGUGCCCUUGCUGGUUCUCCAAGGAGGGUGAGCUGGUUCCUUAAAUGGGGUGAAGGUGGAGGUGGAUCAGGGGUCUGUCAGAGGGGCGGGUUAGUUGGUCUACUCACCCCCUUUUUGCUGCUGGGUACAGAGAUCAGGCACAGUUCCCUGUUUUUGCUCCCGGCACUUCAGAAUGGUGUAUGGCCUUUUUGUUAGUUUAUUGUUCAUAAUUGCCCCAACUGCAGCAUGCAUGCAGUCAUUUUUAACUUUCUUUGUAUUUUGUGGCUCAAGGAGGUAUUUGUCCAGGUGCAAGCGCUCUGAUAGAGGGUUCCUGUUCCAGCUUCUCAGUUUGAAAAAUAAAUGGUUGUAGAUCCCGUAGGCAUAUUCCAACCUGGAGUUUACAGUCUCAUGAUCUAAUUUGACAGCAUCACUGUGUUAUCUACAUAGUAAGAACAAGAAUUUCAGAGUAGUGUAAAUGAUACAAAAAAAGGUGAUAGAAUUGGGCCGGUCCCCAGCAUGUAGAAGCGUCACAGGCUGAUUUCCUGUCUGUGUGGACACCACUCUCCUCUCUGCCACGUGCUCACUAACCCACAAGCUCUGAACCCCUGUCCUUUGGGGAGUUUAUGGAUGCUUUAGUACAUAGGCACAGUGGAUUAAACCAUUGGCCACUGGUGAUUGAGUCAACCUCCAGGGCCUCUCCCCUCCCUAGAGGUCAGAGAGAGGUAGGACUGAGAUUUCCACCUAAUCACAUGGUUAGUUCUCCAGGCAACUAGUUCCCAACCUUAAGUUCAGUCCAAAAAUCAAGAGAAAUAAUUUGUAAUAACCUAGAUGGGAAAAAAGGAAAGGAUAUAGUUAUAUGUACAACUGAGUCACUUUGCUGUACACCUACAACUAAUACAACAUUGCAAAUCACCGACACUACAAUAAAAUUAAAUUUAAAAUGUAACAAUUUAAAACAUCAAGAGACACGUUUAUCACUUUCAUCACAGGAAAGUGCAAGGGUUUUCAGGAGCUCUGUACUGGAAAUGAGGAUGAAGACUAAAUACAUAGUUCUUAUUAAAAAUCACAGCACCACAUGUAGAUUUUUGCUUGAAUCUGUCAUUAUUCCAAUGACCAAAAAAAUAUUAAUAAGUUUAUUUUCAGAGUUCCCAUUGUGACUCAGUGGGUUAAGAACCCAACAUAGUAUCUGUGAGGAUGCAGGUUCAAUACCUGGCUUCACUCAGUGGGUUAAGGAUCCAGUGUUGCCAUGACCUGUGGUGUAGGUCAAACAAGCAGCUUGGAUUCUGCAUUGCCAUGGCUGGGGGUAGGUGGGCAGCUGAAGCUGUGAUUUGACCCCUAGCCUGGGAACUUCCAUAUGCCAAACGUGCGGCCCCGAAAAGAAAAAAAUUUUAUUUUCAUUGUCUUGAAUAUGGAGUCUAGAUCUUCCACUUUGAAGCAAAACCUGGACUCUUGACUCUGGAACCCCAAUUUCUUUAGCAAGUUUCUCUGUUCUUUGUGUGUGUGUGUGUGUGUGUGUGCUUUUUAGCACCACACCCAAGACAUAUGGAGGUUCCCAGGCUAGGGGUCCAAUCGGAGCUGUAGCUGCUGGCCUACACCACAGCCAUAGCAAAACAGGAUCCGAGCCGAGUCUGUGAACUAUACCACAGCUCAUGGCAACAAGGGAUCCUUAACCCACUGAGCGAGGCCAGGGAUUGAACCCACAACCUCAUGGUUCCUAGUCAGAUUUGUUUCCACUGCGCCACAACGGGAACUCCAGCAAGUUUCUCUUUGGAAUCAAUCCCAGGAUAAGGGUUAUCCACAAACUCUUUGAUCAGAGUUUGUAAUUGGGAGGAAGUGCAGCUGGUUCAACAUCAUCUCUCUCCUCUAGUUGGAAACUUCUUUGCAGGGCGAGCUUGGUCUUGGCUUGAGUCUAAGUUUUCCUCAGAUCUUUCCAGGGAUCAGUGCCUGGCUCUUCGAUUCUGAAACUAUAUCUGGAUUCUAGACUGUUUAGUGUUGACUUCCAAAGCAAGUUGUUUGGCAGCAUAGCCUGGGUAAGUUUUUUGGUUGAAUGUAUUGAUGAGAAUUUGCAGUUGCUCUUCGGUGAAUUUGGUGCAGCUGCGCCUACAACUUGUUGCCAUUGUCUUAUUUGGAGGAUUUUCUGGGACCAUGUUGGACAUAAAUGCCUGUAUGUAACAUUUUGCCCAGAAGAGAGUUGAUUUCUUUCUUCUUCUUCUUCUUCUUUUUUUUUGUCUUUUUUUUUGUCUUUUUGCCUUUUCUAGGGUUGCUUCCCAUGGCAUAUGGAGGUUCCCAGGUUAGGGGUCUAAUCAGAGCUGUAGCCGCUAGCCUACACCAGAGUCACAGCAAUGCAGGAUCCGAGCCAUGUCUGGGACCUACACCACAGGUCAUGGCAAUGCCAGAUCCUUAACCCACUAAGCAAGGCCAGGGAUGGAACCUGCAACCUCAUGGUUCCCAGCUGGAUUUGUUAACCACUGAGCCACGACGGGAACUCCAGGAGAGAGUUGAUUUCAGUUCAGUUCAACUGUACUGACCUCCACUCUGCUAUUUUGUUGUUGUUUUUGUUGUUGUUCAUGGCCACACCUGUGGCAUAUGGAAGUUCUGGGCUGGGGAUUCAGUCUGAGCCACAGCUGUGACCUAUGUCGCAGCGGUGGCAAUACCAGAAUCCCUAACCCACUGCACUGGCCAAUGAUCAAACUGCACCUCCGCAGCAACCUGAGCUGGAGCAAUCAGACCCAUUGCGACCCACUGCACCGCAGCAGGAACUCCAACAGCUGCUAUUUGUUGAGCAACCACCAAGCAGAAGGUACCAUUGGGGCUUUUCAUACACUGUCUUUAUUUCUUAUCACAACCUGUGACAGAAGUGUAUCAGGAGUGCUUUUGGCCAUGAUGUAGUAAACCCUACCACUUACUCGACAUGUAAGCAAUUUAAUUUUUUCCCCCAUAAGUAGGUAUUCAGAUUAGAAAAUUCAGGAUUGUAUGGCUGGUCAAGGUCAUUGCGAAGAACUCGGUUUCUUCUCUCUACCUCUUUCUCCACCACUAGUGUGAUUUUCUUCUUUGAAUAGAAUAGAUGUUGCCCCUCCAGAUACCCCAUCAACAUACCAGGCAGAAAAAAAAAAAAGAGCAUUGAGGGAGGAAAAAAGUAAAGGGUAAAAUAAAUAGCCUCCUCCUUGUCAAGUAUUGCCUUUUAUUCUGGAAGAGAAGGCCUCCCUGGGGUCUUCUGCCUGCAUCUCAUCAGCUAGAACUGGGUCAUGUCCUGGCCACCUCUGUCUGAAAAAGAAAUGAAAAUGUAAGUAUUUCACUUACUAGCCUCUGUUGUAGAAGGCAGAAGGUAAUAUGGUUGAAGUGAAUGCUGAGUCAGCUAAUCUAUGACACAUGCCAGGGCAGGUGUUAACCCUAAUUUUGCAGGUGAGGAAACUAAGGCUGAAAGAAAUCACAUGAUAAGCCUGAGUUAACUAAGGGAAUGUGGACCACAGUCAGUCUGCCCUGCAGAGAAGUUGUGCAUUGCCCAGGGAGAGGUGAAGGAACAUCUUUCAUCAGUGUCCAUCCCCACCUCCUUGGCUUCAGUGUCUUCUGCAGGCAUCCCCAGACCUUGGACAGGAAAUGUAGACUUGUAGAAUUCUUGAGGCCACCGAAUAUCUCUUGAGAAACUGAUCUUUCUGAUGCAGGAUCAUUGCCAUGGGGAUGAACAGACCCCUGUGAGGAGAGAGGACCUAGGGAAGUUUUCACAGCAAGUACUGCCAACAUAUCAAGGCCACUUGCCAGCAACUUUGUGUUGCACCAGCAGGAAGCAUCAGGGUGAACAGAGAAUCAUGCUUGUUUUUGAGUUGGUGUAGAGGUAGGUUAUAGCAUUUGAUAAAGCUUAAAAGAGCAAUGGUGAAGAGGUAAAUGGCUUGGGAAGGUAGAGGUGGAGGAAUAGUCUUUGUCCCUGUUGGGCUGGCUUAGACCCGAGGGGAGAGUGGACUUGUAGACAGACCUGGGGUAAACGGCGGUGUCAGCGAGGAUCACUGAGAUGGUUUUGAGGCAGUAGUUGUUGUGAAUGGUCUACUACAAGACCUGUGAAGAUAACUGUAAAUUUUUGAGAGAUGUAAAGAAGGCUUAAAUAGAGAGGUAUACCAUGUUCCCUGACUGGAAGCCAAUAUUGUAAACAUAGAAAUUCUCCUUAAAUUGAUUGGUAGAUCCAGUGCAAUCCCAAUGAAAUUCACAAGCUGCUUUUAUGGAACAUGACGUUCUAAUUCUAAAAUUUAUAUGGAAGUAUAAAAUGUAAAAAUUAUCCAAGACAUUCUUGUAAAAGAACAAGAGAGCUUGCUCUAACAGAUAUCAAGACUUACUAUGAAGUUAAAGAAAUUAAGACAAUGUGGUGUUGGUGUGAAGAUGGCAAAUUGAGCCAAUGGAGGAGAAUAUAGAAUUCAGAAAUGUAGUUUUUGCAUACAUAGACACUUCCAUGAGAAAAACAAGAUUACUGGGGGAAAGAUAGAAUAAGAGCUGAUCAUACAACUGGGUAUUCAUGUGGGAGAAAAAUCUGACCUUUAUCCCCGCAUCAUCUACAAAAAAAAAAAAUUUUGGAUGGAUUUGAAAAUUCUAGAUAGAUUGAAGUCCUAAAAAUUAAAGAAUAACCAAAUCUUUAAAAGAUAGAAUUGGAGAAUAACUUUGUGACCUUAGGGUAGGAAAAAAUUCAUAAGACACACAAAAUGUACCAACUAUAAAAGAGGAAAUUGUUCUACACUAAAGACCAUUGAGGAGUUCUCUUGUGAUGCAGUGGGUUAGGGAUCUGGCACUGUCACUGCAGUGGCUUGGGUUGCUGCUGUGGCAUGGGUUCAAUACCUGGCCCAGAAACUUCCAUGUGUCAAGAGCAU